GUGGUUAGGAUUCGGCGCUCUCACC
rnacentral:piRNA from 6 species